UACAGAGGGGGCAAGCGUUGUUCGGAAUUACUGGGCGUAAAGGGCGCGUAGGCGGCCGCCUAAGUCAGACGUGAAAUCCCUCGGCUCAACCGGGGAACUGCGUCUGAUACUGGGUGGCUUGAAUCCGGGAGAGGGAUGCGGAAUUCCAGGUGUAGCGGUGAAAUGCGUAGAUAUCUGGAGGAACACCGGUGGCGAAGGCGGCAGCCUGGACCGGCAUUGACGCUGAGGCGCGAAAGCCAGGGGAGCAAACGGG
rnacentral:rRNA from 1 species